rnacentral:lncRNA from 1 species
UCUGUACACUCCUGAAAAAAUCAAAACAACAUGAUUGUUACCUCUUUCCAGGACACUGAGAACCAAAUUUCGUUGGAUCAUAGCAUUGGCUGUUCAAGGGGUUGACAGAUCCUCACUUUAACAGGCGCUCGCUUGUUGGUAAAGCACUAUCUUGUCCAUGUCCAGCCUCACAAUGUUCCCAUCUCCGGCAACCCUAAAGCUAUCUUGGUUUACCACCUUGUUAAACUCUACUUAUCGCGAUGGCAUGAUACAGUUAUCUCUGUUCUCACCUUCAAUAUUUAUAUUUGCAAAACAUAACAUUCUUCUAUCAAUAUGAUGAUACCGACAAACGAUACACAACCGUGUCCUUGAGUUAGAAAUCACGUAAAGAAGGAGUGUUUCUAAGCUAAUUCAAGUUCCUAAACCAGAGUAGGUCAAAUUCAAAUGGCGUUUUCUUUUUCGUUUACUCCAGAGGACUAUGCAAAAAUAUGCGUUUCAUGGUAAAUAAAGAAGAAAGUAAAUGGACAAGAGAAUUGAUAUGGUUUGAGUGAUCAAAAAGAAAC